rnacentral:rRNA from 1 species
UACAGAGGGUGCAAGCGUUAAUCGGAAUUACUGGGCGUAAAGCGCGCGUAGGCGGUUUGGUCAGUCGGAUGUGAAAGCCCCGGGCUUAACCUGGGAAUUGCAUUCGAUACUGCUUGACUAGAGUGUGGUAGAGGGAAGCGGAAUUCCGGGUGUAGCGGUGAAAUGCGUAGAGAUCCGGAGGAACAUCAGUGGCGAAGGCGGCUUCCUGGACUAACACUGACGCUGAGGUGCGAAAGCGUGGGGAGCAAACAGGAUUAGAUACCCCCGUA